rnacentral:rRNA from 1 species
UGAGGAAUAUUGCGCAAUGGACGAAAGUCUGACGCAGCCACGCCGCGUGCAGGAAGACACCCCUUCGGGGCGUAAACUGCUUUUAUAUGGGAAGAACACCCCGAUCCGCAUCGGGGUCUGACGGUACCAUACGAAUAAGGACCGGCUAACUCCGUGCCAGCAGCCGCGGUAAUACGGAGGGUCCAAGCGUUGUCCGGAAUCACUGGGUGUAAAGGGUGCGCAGGCGGGCGUGUAAGUCAGAGGUGAAAGCCCCCGGCCUAACCGGGGAAUUGCCUUUGAUACUGCACGUCUUGAGUCUUGGAGAGGUUGCCAGAAUUCGUGGUGUAGCGGUGAAAUGCGUAGAUAUCACGAGGAAUACCGGAAGCGUAGGCGGGCAACUGGACAAGCACUGACGCUGAGGCACGAAAGCGUGGGGAGCGAACAGGAUUAGAUACCCCCGUAGUCC